UAACCUGCCCAAGAGAUCGGGAUAACACCUGGAAACAGAUGCUAAUACCGGAUAAUAACAGAUGAUGCCUAUCAACUGUUUAAAAGAUGGUUCUGCUAUCACUCUUGGAUGGACCUGCGGUGCAUUAGCUAGUUGGUAGGGUAACGGCCUACCAAGGCGAUGAUGCAUAGCCGAGUUGAGAGACUGAUCGGCCACAUUGGGACUGAGACACGGCCCAAACUCCUACGGGAGGCCAGCAGCG
rnacentral:rRNA from 1 species